rnacentral:rRNA from 1 species
UACGGGGGGAGCAAGCGUUGUUCGGAUUUACUGGGCGUAAAGGGCGCGUAGGCGGCCACCGCAAGUCGACUGUGAAAUCUCCGGGCUUAACCCGGAAAGGUCAGCCGAUACUGCGGGGCUAGAGUGCAGAAGGGGCAACUGGAAUUCUCGGUGUAGCGGUGAAAUGCGUAGAUGUCGAGAGGAACACCUGCGGCGAAGGCGGGUUGCUGGGCUGACACUGACGCUGAUGCGCGAAAGCUAGGGGAGCGAACGGG